AGUUUAUACACAACAAACGUUAUAUGCUAUACAGUAUUCUAGAUGGGCUUAUUACUAGACAUGGGCUUGUUGUAGGAUAAAUAUUGUACAUGUCUGGCAGUGUGAAUAUCACAUUAAUAGUGAUUAUUGUGUUAAUUGAGGAGUGUACCAAGAUGACACUAUAUUUGUAUUUACAACGAUAAGGAUAUCAGCAUUAUUUAUGUUCGUCGUAACCUAGAAAUAUUGAAACCUUUGUAAAUAGUAACCUGUGUAUACUGUUAGAAUGUCUGUGUAAUCUUGUCAUCAGAGUAUGAACUAAAUUUUUGUUUAACUGUCUCUGAACAGACAGUUAAGUACUGUCUCUGAACAGACAGUUAAGUACUGUCUCUGAACAGACAGUUAAGUAAAUCUCAUAGCACUGUCGGUUUUCCAGCCAAUUUAUGAUAUUUUGAAGAAGUUUAGAGCAUUAUCGUACAAAAGGAAGACAUAUUGAUAUGAUAAUAAGAAAAGUGAAAAUUUAAUAUGUUGGGAGUCGGUCAGGUGACUGAUAAAGAGACAUUCGAUAUCUGCUGUAUCUUUGUAAAUUGCCAGUACAUUUUCUGUGAUAUUAACAGAAACAUUCGGUAGAUGUGAUAUUAACAGAAACAUUUGGUAGAUUAUAAAGGCAUAGAUGAAAGCACAUAACGGAGGCAUUACAUGAGGCUUAAUAGGAAAUGAAGGUAGAUUCAAUAUCAACAUUUCAAGUGAAAUAAUCAAAUAUUAUUAGUGCAUUGUUUAUCGACAUGUUUCAAACUUUCCUCAAUAUCAAUUGGCACUGGUGCAGAUUAUUUUUUGAAAUGGAAUAGGAAUGUUUUGAAAUUACAAUUGUGAUUUUUUUUUAUUAUUAUUUGCAAAUUAUUUAAUUGUAGUCAACUAGUAUUUGUUCUAAUCUUAAAAUCUUCUGGUUGUGUUUCCAUUGAAAUUUAUAUUCUGCAUUUGAAUUUGAACAAUUGGAUGAAUAUUUCAGGUAACUAACCUACAUGUAUGAAGAUUUAAUACCAACUAAUAAAAUUUGAAUUCUGGUUUGAAUAUACAUUAAUGUUAUACAGCAUAAUCGAUGUUUGUAAAGUGUUUUGAGGAUGACGUUUAAUGUUUACAGGAAGUUAAAAGUUUUAUAAUGGCGUGCGGCUGUUGGACCUGAACAGUAAAGAGUGCAAUAUUUUGCUUUAUUUUGUUAUAUCAUCAUCUUGGUGAGUUUGUGUAAUGAAACAGUAUCUAAAAGAUGACUGUACUAUCUCUUCUAUUGAAUAUAUUUUUCUGUUGUGUGAAUAUCCUUCUUUUCCUAAAAUGCUAUAAAAGAAAAAUUAACCUUUUUACUGUAAACAUUUUUGCAUAUACUUUAUUUCAUGAAUUUACCUCUUCAGAUAUAUUCGUGAAUACAAAAUGUACAUGAUUUCGAGAAUGCUGAUCUAGAAAUGACUAAGAUCUGUGAGUGGUAAAAACUAUUAGAGUCAAGGACUCCACAAGACUCCAGAGGUGUCAUUUUCAUACAAAUAUUCGCAAAGGAUUGGAAUUCCUGUUUGACUCUCCUCGCGAAUAAACAGGUAUUAAAAGUUGAUAGUGGGUAACUUUGGAGAAAUUAUGGAACUAGUUAAAUGGUUUUUCAUGAGCUUCAAGAACUAAGUUCAAUUCUUUUGAGGGAAAUGAAAUUUGAAAGAAUAUGUUGAUGUAUUAGAUGCACUUCCAAAUGGUAAUAUUUCUGUUCUUGCAUUGCAAACCCUCUACAAUUAAAAGUUGAAUUUAUCAACAAAUCUCUCUUAGUAAUCAUACUGUGAUCAAGAGAUUGCUACACCACUGUGACCGUUCCAUCGCUGGUCGAUAAUAAGCUUUUCAAUUAAUAAAUCAAAAAUGGUAGAUUGUAUUUAAAAGAUUUGUUUAUCAGACCACAGGGGCAUGUCUAAUCUCAUAUUAAAAAAUAGCCUGAAAUACCUAUAUAUAAAGAGUUUUUAUAUAUAAGUAUAUCUGGCUAUUUUUUAAUGUAAGACUAGACAUGGCCUGUGAUCAGACUAAGGGGUAUAUGUCAUUUCAUGCCCCUUUAAAAAAAGUCUUGAGUUAAUGAGUCCUUGUAAAAAUUAUUUUAUUUAUACAUGUAGUACCACCUGAUAUACAAUGUACUUAAAAUGUGUAGUAAUAGUGUUUUAAAUUCUACAGUACCUGUUCAUUGCACAGGGACUUGGCACGAAUUCCAAACACACAGUACAUAUAGAUGUAUUAUGCUUCAUUCAUGCGUUACAAUUAUAUGGACCAUGAUUAACACAUGCCAAGUCCCUAUGGUUGAUAACUGGUACAAAUAUGGAGUUGAAAUAGGGAAUUUCUACGUUUUCUCUGUGAUGUGUAUGACGGUGUCUGUUUCCUCUGUUACGAUAUAUACAUUGUGUAUUAUUUAAAUAUAUAAACAAAAAAGAUUCUACAUGACAAACAAUUGCAAUCAGUAACGCAAGUGCUUUCAGGCCUACCUGGCCAUCUAGUUUGUGCCGUUAUACCUUGAACUACAAUACUGUUACCUCCCCUGCAUUUUCAUCCAUUAUGACAUCAUAACACAUUAUGAUGUCAUCCGGUUACUAAGUAAUAAAUCAAAUGCCUGAAGAUGGCCAGGUAGGCCUGAAAGCGCUUGCGUUAUUGAUUGCAAUUGUUUGACAUGUUAAAUCUUUUUUGUUUAUAUAUAUAGAUGAAGCAGUGUAGCUCAAAUGAAAUGGUUGUGGAUCUAUUUUGUCAGAAAUUAGCUUUUAUACCUGACUUUCUAUUGCUGUAAAAUGUUACUGAAGGGACAAGUCCUCUUUCUCUUUGUUCAAUAAAAGGGACACAAUAUAUAUAUAAAUAUAUUUCUUCAUGUUUAUUUUCUCUCAAGCAGUUGAUAAACAAAAUAUAUGUGACAUAUUAUUUAGUGAAAUUGCUUUUUUUACUUUGUUUCUCACCACAAAAUCUUUGCAUUUAUAAAUAUCUUGCAUUUAUUUAUUUAUUUUUUAUUUCAUUUUAUUUUAUUUUUUAAGUAUAUAAUGGAAGUUACUCUGAUAUCAUUAAAGCUGCUAUUUCACUUUAUAUACAUUCGACUAGUACUGGGAAAAAAUACACUUUAAUAUUAAUUUUAGAAAUUAUUUCACAAAAAAAAAAAAAAAAUUCCUUUAUAAACUUUUCUAAUUCAUCAUUCCUGUGUAGUCAAUUUAAAGUCAGUUAAAUUCUACAGCGAAACAUAUUCUAGCUUGCCAUGACAAUGGAUAUACGGAUGUUGAUCAAACUUUGGUUGAAGUUUUGAUAGGCAGAAUAAAUUACUUGGUACAGGUUCAGUUGAAAGUAAGAAAUAUUUGUGAGCCUGUAAGUUUUUGUCUUUAUAAUGUCCUUCCUUUCCUUCUCAAUAAAGUGUAAUCAUGCAACUGUUCAUAUUUAAGCUGUAAUCAUAUUUUUAUUAUAUUGGUUUUGUUUAUGUUUACAAUUGUAAAAUAUUCCUGCUUUACAUCAAGAAAUCGUUCCCACUUUUUAAAUCUGUUCAGCAUAUAAGUACAUGUGUUGAGAUUAUUAAUGAUUCGUGUUUGAAUGUUAUAUCUUUUGUUUAUGCACUGUAAGUGUAAGCUUGUUGCUUCUAUCAUCAAAUACCAAAGAAAAUUACUUUUGUUAAGUUUGAAAGUGAAAUUAACUUGAAAUAAUACUUUAUCGUUGCUAAAAGCUUCCUUAUUAAGUUUUUGUUAUAAUUUGUAUCUGUUUUAAAUAGUAUCCUGUCUUUAAAGUAUAUAUUCUGAUUAAUUAACCUUGUGAUAUCUGUUUAUGUAUGUAUCAAUAAUAUUUGUUUGUGAGCCACAUUGUACAAAUAUGUAAGAGUCAAACUUUACUAAUUUGUUUGUGAGUCACAUUGUACAAAUUUGCUGUCAAACUUAACAAAUUUGUUUGUGAGUCACAUAGUACAAAUAUGUUAGUCAAACUUAACAAAUUUGUUUGUGAGUCACAUUCUACAAAUAUGUUAGUCAAACUUAACAAAUUUGUUUGUGAGUCACAUAGUACAAAUAUGUUAGAGUCAAACUUUACAAAUUUGUUUUGUGAGUCACAUUCUACAAAUAUGUUGGAGUCAAACUCUACAAAUUUGUUUGUGAGUCACAUUGUACAAAUAUGUUAGAGUCAAAUUUUACAAAUUUGUUUGUGAGUCACAUUCUACAAAUAUGUUAGUCAAACUUAACAAAUUUGUUUGUGAGUCACAUAGUACAAAUAUGUUAGAGUCAAACUUUACAAAUUUGUUUUGUGAGUCACAUUCUACAAAUAUGUUGGAGUCAAACUCUACAAAUUUGUUUGUGAGUCACAUUGUACAAAUAUGUUAGAGUCAAACUUUACAAAUUUGUUUUGUGAGUCACAUUGUACAAAUAUGUUAGAGUCAAAUUUUACAAAUUUGUUUGUGAGUCACAUUGUACAAAUAUGUUUGAGUCAAACUUUACAAAUUUGUUUUGUGAGUCACAUUGUACAAAUGUUUGCAAGUGGUACUGUAAAUUUAUUUGUGAGUUACAAAUGUUUGUGAAUCAAAUCAUACAAAUACUUUAAUGACUAACAUUGAAGGUAUUUGAGACAAACUGUGGAUUUGUUUGUGAAUCACUUUGUACAAAUUUGUUUGCGAAUCACAUUGUACACUCUGCUUGCCAUUCACAUUACAAAUUUAUUUGUGAAUUAAAUUGAACAAAUGUGUUAGCACAUCACAUCAUACAAAUUUGUGAAUGAAAUUUUACAAAUUUACUUGUAAGUAACCUUGUACAAAUUUGUUUGCUUUACUAAAUUGUAUGGAACAUCUUGAUCAAAUCAAUGCAUAUAUAUAUAUAUAAUUGUAUAUAUUUUGUUUGUAAAGUAUGAAAUACAAAAGUUCUAUUUGUUAACAGUGUAUAAUUUUGUGAAUACUACGACCACAAAUAACAUGCAUGCUCAUGUUGAUUACUGGUAAUCAGAUCUUUAUAAACAUCCUUGGAAAUUAAUGGUCUUUUUUCAGUUACUGGUUUACCACCUACAUGACUCUGUCUAUAGCUAGGUUUCGUCUCACUAACUCUAGUCAGUGUUCUGUCGAUGGUUUACCACCUACAUGACUCCGCCUAUUGCUACUUUUUGUCUCACUGACUGUAGUCAGUGUUCUAUCAGUAUUAGUUAGUCAUUACAGGUGAGACUUCUACGCAUAUAAAAUGUAAAUGUUUUUUGCAAAUACAACAUGUAUUCAUGAAAUCAUCAACUGAAGUUGUCACAACAAAUAUUUAGAAAUCAAUCUGUGACAAUGAAAUUGUAGUGUAUGUAAUACCACAAAACAAUAGGGACAUAUGGUUAUUACAAAUCUGACUCUAGGUGUCCACAACACCAAUAAUGUACAUGUAUUUCAUAUGUGCUGGUUAAUAUCUUGCCAACAAGUAUUUUCAAGAUUUAAUUGGAGAAUCAAAAAGCUUUUUCUUGUAUUUUAUGGUUAGAUUUCGUGCUUAAAGAGAAAACAUUACUGUAUUUACUUUUUAUGACUUUUAUGAAAAUCAAAAAUCCUAUUCAAAAAUUGAAUUUUCAAAUUGUAUUUCAGUGAUAAGCAAUCAAAGAUUCUUUGUCUUCAGUGAUUAAUGAAUAUAAUUUUCAUCAAAUCUGUAUAUUAAUUAAAUUUGAUAUCAAAGAUAAUCUAUGAUCAGAAUCUCUAUCUUUAGGAUAUGCACAGCUUACCAAAUUAUCAAUCAAGGAUACAAUACUCCUAAAUGAUCAUGGCCCAGUUGUUCAAAAGGUGAUUAGCCUAAAUCACUUACUUAGUGAAAAUCUCAUUUCUCUUUAAAUUCAAAACCUCUGUGUGAAUAUUCCUUACACAAGACAGUUAGGAAGAGACUGAAGCGUGUUAUAAAGAGUUUUGUAAAAUUUUGUUAGUUUUACUAGAAAUGAUUUUAUCAGGAUUUUAAAAUUGUUAAACAAUUGUUAAGCCUAAUCACCUUUUAAACAACUGGUCCUUGACGUUUGGUUUGCAGGGAAUUAAUAUGUUAAUUAGUAGAAGUAUUCAAGAACAGAUAACAGCUGGUGUUUGUCCUUUAUUUCUUCUUCUGAAGAAUGAUUUAUGUUCCUAGCCAUAUCUUCAGUAUCCAAGAGUUACACAUCAUGAUAUACCACUAUCAGUAUUGUGUAGUGGAUUGAAAUCCUUUGGUAGCAAAAUGCCAUAUAUUACCAAUGUAUUUGUCUUAAAGACCACAAAAUUGUUAUAAUUGUUAUUUGUUGUCAGUUGAUGGUAAUUUGUAAAAUAAAUAUUGAAAUGAAA